rnacentral:rRNA from 1 species
UACGUAGGGGGCUAGCGUUGUCCGGAAUCAUUGGGCGUAAAGAGCGCGUAGGCGGCCAGAUAAGUCCGGUGUGAAAGUCACAGGCUCAACCUGUGAAUGCCGCUGGAAACUGUCUGGCUAGAGUCCGGGAGGGGCGAGUGGAAUUCCUGGUGUAGCGGUGGAAUGCGCAGAUAUCAGGAGGAACACCGAUGGCGAAGGCAGAUCUCUGGGCCGUAACUGACGCUGAGGAGCGAAAGCGUGGGGAGCGAACAGG